AACGAACGCUGGCGGCAGGCCUAACACAUGCAAGUCGAACGCUGUAGCAAUACAGAGUGGCAGACGGGUGAGUAACGCGUGGGAAUCUACCCAAUGGUACGGAAUAACUCAGGGAAACUUGAGCUAAUACCGUAUGUGCCCGAAAAGGGGAAGAUUUAUCGCCAUUGGAUGAGCCCGCGUCGGAUUAGCUAGUUGGUGGGGUAACGGCCCACCAAGGCGACGAUCCGUAGCUGGUCUGAGAGGAUGAUCAGCCACACUGGGACUGAGACACGGCCCAGACCUCCGUACGGGUGGCACG
rnacentral:rRNA from 1 species